rnacentral:rRNA from 1 species
UACCUACAACACAACAUUAAUGCACUAGAUCCCAAUAGAACUCCACAGUUAAGCGCAUUCAAGCUAGAGUAUUACUGGGAUGGGUAAUCGCCCGAGAAGUCCUAGUAUUUUACAUGC